rnacentral:snRNA from 1 species
GUGCUCACUUUGGCAGCACAUAUACUAAAAUUGGAAAGAUACAGAGAAGAUUAGCAUGGCCCCUGCACAAGGAUGACAAGCAAAUUCAUGAAGCAUUCCAUAUUUUU